UACGUGAGGAGACAAACGUUAUCCGGAGUUACUGGGCGUAAAGGGCGUGCAGGUGGCUUGAUAAGUUCGGCGUGAAAUUUCCGGCUUAACCGGGGAUGUCGUCGGAGACUGUCGAGCUAGAGGGUGAUAGAGGCGUGUGGAAUUCGGGUGUAGUGGUGAAAUGCGUAGAGAAUCCGGAGGAACACCAGUGGCGAAGGCGACACGCUGGGUCAU
rnacentral:rRNA from 1 species